CAUGCAAGUCGAACGAGGAUAUAUCCUUCGGGAUAUAAGCCGAGUGGCGCAAGGGUGAGUAAUGCAUAGAUUACCUACCUCUAGGAUAAGGACAACUUUGUGAAAACGAAGCUAAUACUUAAUAAUACAAAAGAAAAUAAUUUUCUUAUGUCAAUGGGAGGGUAGCAAUACCUUUUGCCUAGAGAGGGGUUUAUGUCCUAUCAGCUUGUUGGUGGGGUAAUGGCCUACCAAGGCGAAGACGGGUAGCCGGUCUUAGAGGAUGGUCGGCCACACUGGGACUGAGACACUGCCCAGACUUCUACGGAAGGCUGCAGUCGAGAAUCUUUCGCAAUGCCCGAAAGGGUGACGAAGCGACGCCGCGUGAGUGAGGAAGGCCUUCGGGUUGUAAAGCUCUGUCAGGAGUUAAGAAAUAUAAGUGUGCUAAUACCACAUUUAUUUGACGAAGGCUCCAAAGGAAGCCACGGCUAACUCUGUGCCAGCAGCCGCGGUAAUACAGAGGUGGCAAGCGUUGUUCGGAUUUAUUGGGCGUAAAGAGCACGUAGGUGGGUUUGUAAGUCAGAUGUGAAAGCCUUCUGUUCAACGGAAGAAUUGCAUCUGAAACUACAAGUCUUGAGUGUAGGAGGGGAGAAUGGAACUUCUGGUGGAGCGGUGAAAUGCGUAGAUAUCAGAAGGAACGCCGGCGGCGAAAGCGAUUCUCUGGCCUAUUACUGACACUCAGUGUGCGAAAGCUAGGGGAGCAAACGGGAUUAGAUACCCCGGUAGUCCUAGCCGUAAACGAUGGGCACUAAGUAGAGGGAAUUACCGAUGUUCUCUCUGCCGUAGCUAACGCAUUAAGUGCCCCGCCUGGGGAGUACGGCCGCAAGGCUAAAACUCAAAAGAAUUGACGGGGGCUCGCACAAGCGGUGGAGCAUGUGGCUUAAUUCGAUGCAACGCGAAGAACCUUACCGGGGCUUGACAUGGUAGAAGUAGGAACCCGAAAGGGGUAACGAACGGGUAUCCAGUCCGUAACUAUCACAGGUGUUGCAUGGCUGUCGUCAGCUCGUGUCGUGAGACGUUGGUUAAGUCCCCUAACGAGCGAAACCCUGUUUUUAGUUACCAGCGGGUUAUGCCGGGUACUCUAGAAAGACUGCCGUCGUCAAGACGGAGGAAGGUGGGGAUGACGUCAAGUCAUCAUGGCCCUUAUGCCCCGGGCUGCACACGUGCUACAAUGGUCGGUACAAACGGAAGCGAAGCCGAGAGGUGAAGCGAAUCCUAAAAAGCCGAUCUCAGUUCGGAUUGGAGGCUGAAAUUCGCCUUCAUGAAGUUGGAAUCGCUAAUAAUCGCGGAUCAGCAUUGCCGCGGUGAAUAUGUUCCCGAGCCUUGUACACACCGCCCGUCAAGCCACCCAAGCAGGAUGCACCCGAAAACAUUAUAUCUAACCAGGUUUACCUGGAGGAAAGUGUUGAAGGAGUGUUUUGUGAGGAGGACUAAGUCGUAACAAGGUAGUCGUAGGAGGACCUGCGGCUGGAUCACCUCCUUUCU
rnacentral:rRNA from 1 species